rnacentral:rRNA from 1 species
UACAGAGGGUGCAAGCGUUGUUCGGAAUUAUUGGGCGUAAAGCGCGUGUAGGCGGCCCUGUAAGUCGGGUGUGAAAUCCCACGGCUCAACCGUGGAAGUGCAUACGAAACUACAGGGCUAGAGUUCUGGAGAGGAAGGUGGAAUGCUUGGUGUAGAGGUGAAAUUCGUAGAUAUCAAGCGGAACACCGGUGGCGAAGGCGGCCUUCUGGACAGUAACUGACGCUGAGACGCGAAAGCGUGGGGAGCAAACAGG